rnacentral:rRNA from 1 species
UACGGGGGGGGCAAGCGUUGUUCGGAAUUACUGGGCGUAAAGGGCUCGUAGGCGGCCAACUAAGUCUGACGUGAAAUCCCUCGGCUUAACCGGGGAACUGCGUCUGAUACUGGAUGGCUUGAAUCCGGGAGAGGGAUGCGGAAUUCCAGGUGUAGCGGUGAAAUGCGUAGAUAUCUGGAGGAACACCGGUGGCGAAGGCGGCAUCCUGGACCAACACUGACACUGAGGAGCGAAAGCCAGGGGAGCAAACGGG